CCACGCCGUAAAUGGUGAGUGCUAGGUGUCGGGAGUCAAAUCUCGGUGCCGACGUUAACACAUUAAGCACUCCGCCUGGGGAGUACGCACGCAAGUGUGAAACUCAAAGGAAUUGACGGGGACCCGCACAAGCAGCGGAGCAUGUGGUUUAAUUCGAUGCAACGCGAAGAACCUUACCAGGGCUUGACAUAUGGGUGAAAGACGUAGAGAUACGUCCCCUCUUCGGAGCAGCCAUACAGGUGGUGCAUGGUUGU
rnacentral:rRNA from 1 species